rnacentral:rRNA from 1 species
AACGAACGCUGGCGGCAUGCCUAACACAUGCAAGUCGAACGAGACCUUCUGGUCUAGUGGCGCACGGGUGCGUAACGCGUUGGAACCUGCCUUUAGGUUCGGAAUAACUCCCCGAAAGGGGUUCUAAUACCGGAUAAUGUCUUCGGACCAAAGAUUUAUCGCCUUUGGAUGGGCCCGCGUUGGAUUAGCUAGUUGGUAGGGUAAAAGCCUACCAAGGCGACGAUCCAUAGCUGGUCUGAGAGGAUGAUCAGCCACACUGGGACUGAGACACGGCCCAGACUCCUACGGGAGGCAGCAGUGGGGAAUAUUGGACAAUGGGCGAAAGCCUGAUCCAGCAAUGCCGCGUGAGUGAUGAAGGCCUUAGGGUUGUAAAGCUCUUUUACCCGGGAUGAUAAUGACAGUACCGGGAGAAUAAGCUCCGGCUAACUCCGUG